CCCAGACCCGAGUCUGCAGGAUCCUGGAUGUGCCUUUAACCACCAGUAGCUACUUUUGCUCUGAAUGUUAUUUUCAACCGAGUGUUUCAGAAUGUGAGUUUCGAUACUAUCUUCUCCUGCUGUCAUACAAAGAGCUUUCAAUGAGCUCCUGCACUGGGACGUGGGCAAUUUCACAGAAGUCUCCUAUAGAACUCAGCAUAUGCCAUUUAUUGCCAAGGUUUGCCGACCUCUGAGAAGGCACCAGGCGAGCUGCAGGAUUCACUGCAGAUUCCUGAGAAUUCACACAACUACACCAGAGAUGCUGAUAAAGCAAAGAACUCAGUCUGAUAAACCGCUUCUGCUGUCAAAAGAUUUUUUGAACCGUUGUACAUAAGGUUGACAUCAGGAAUCAAACAAUGCCUGUCACUAAAUCCUUUUAGGGAGACACAAGAGAUUAAGGCUUAGCUUAUGACUGGGAAGGCUUCUAUUCUCUGUAUCAAUAGGAGAAAGUCUUGAAGGUGAAUAAAUUCCAAAGAGUCUCCAGUGAAGCAGAGGGAGAGCAGCUUUAGGCAUAAUACAAGUCUUGCUCCGUGAUUCUCUACCACUGCUUUCUGAGAUUGUAUCAGCAGCCAGCUCAUUUUUUGAUCCGGUUUAGGUAGGGAGAAAAAUAAAAUGUCCCAGCAUCUGAAGUUUCCCGCCUAAGAGGCCAAUGAAACGGUCUUUGUGAGACAGGCAUGUUGUCAGAUUACAGAACGUCACAGAGUCGAAUACAAAAAGCAUGAAAGAACAGGUGAAAUUAUUUAUUUAUGUAAAGAGUAGUGAAGCUGAGUGCUUCCAAAUUCUGCUGUCUUUGCUAAAGAAUGAGAUAAAAAUAACGAUGUCAUUAAUCUCACAAAGACGCAUGAGCACUUCUUUCCAGAAAUAACUGUUAAGCAUAAAAUUUCAGGCAUUAAUCAAAGUGUGCAGAGGCCUAACCCUUUUUAGGAUUCUAAAAGAAAAUGUAAAGUUUUAUGACUGUAAAGCAACAUGAACCUUUAUUCUAAGCAAGUAACUUCAGGAUAAACAAGCUUAGGGCAAAUUUCUCAACUAGCGCACAGGCGUAUUGUUUCCAUUUGUUUUAGUGAAGCUGCAGCAAGUUUUACCAUCUCAGAAGUUGGUCUCUGUUGUCUGAAAGAAGCCUAGAAGAAAGAAGGGCACUACCACAUGAUAUUAUGGAAAAAAAAAAUGUAAUAAAAAGAUGCUGCAGGAACCAGUAAAGGAGACAUACCCAUGAGGAAAGGAAAAAACACAGGACAAAGAAAAUGCUUAAGAAGUUCUUUCAGGAAAGAAAAUUAGCAGACACAGCACAAGGGAAUGUGAACUCUGCCCAGACAUGGAGAAUAUGGGUAAGAUUCAGGGAGAAAAAAAUUAAUACAAAGAUAUCUUUUCAAAUACAGUGGAGAUGUAGCACAAGCAAGGAUGAAUUAUAUUUGUUUCCCAUAGGUCAACUCCAGAAAGAGAUUUCUUACAAAGAUGGAUUCUUUUAUCUCAGAUCCACCAUCCUCGAUACACCUCAAAGUGAUUCAACAAGAAAGAAAAUAUCCCAGGGAAUGAGUUCUAACCCUCAUUUAAAGCUGCCAAAGGUAUUGCUUAGUGGUCCCGGGAUACAGAUAAAUUGCCUGUGUCAAUUCAAAACUCAUAUACAUUUGCCAUGAAGGGAAAUGUUAUGUCUGCAUGUGAUUUCCUGGAACAAAUGAAAUGUUUCUGCAAAGGAAGCCAUAAAAUGCUGAGAAUCUAUUAAGGCUGUUGUGUCUGAAAAUAGUUAACUCAAACUUAAUAGUGCAGGUCUACCAGGUCAGGGGAAAAUAAAUGAAGAAAGGGAAAUAAAUCAUGUCUUAAAAAAUCUGACAGAAGAGUCCAACCAGCUUUAGCAUAUGAAACUAAUACCAAAAGCUGUUUUGGUAAACCAUUGAGAAAGAACAGCAAUGGAAACUGAAUAUUUACAAGACUAUGUGUCGAGGACAUGUAUACAGCAGUCCAGCAGUGAAAUCUGUGAGGCAGGACUGGGCCGAUCCCGAGCUAGUCAGUAUUAAGAGAAAAAUACUGGGCUCUUCUGUUGCUUCCAACAGUGGAACUAACAAUUUGGCCAUCACCAAGACAGCCAAGUACCUUAUGCAAAGGCACAUUGCUCAGCAGGCUCAGCUCUCCAAACUCUUUGCAUCCCUGCUAGAACUGAGCAAAGAUCGGAACGGACAACCCUAUCCCAGGUGAAUUUUACUCUUUGCCAUGUACACAACACCUGUCUCUUUCCAUAUCUUUAAUUGAUUCCUUUUUUUUUUUUUGUUACAUUUAACAUACCGACGAAAUACAACCAUCAUUGAACCACUGUUGAACACCGACGGUCUGAGAGCUUGGACCAUCAUUCUGCCCAUGAUGGUCAUGGCUUCCAACUAGUCUUAAAUCCUCAGUGUCACCGCUUGGGAAGCCAUUGGGUCCUCUAUUUCUUACAACUGUAAAGAGAACAUAUCUCAUGUGAAAAAGACAACCUGCUGGCUACAGUGAGGCCAGCCAAAUAAACAAGAAAUGCAGUUA